CUGCCUUCUGCCUGUAUAUUUAUUAAAUUACUGUGGUUAAGUCUAUUGGACCUUAACCAAUAACUCCACAUCCUGGGUUAUAUACACAACACAGAAUUAUUAUUUUAUUUAUUGAUAUUUUAAUACAUAGAUCAAAAUCUUCAUUCCUGAACAAUGCUGUAACAUAUUGAUAUAUGACCUUUUUUGCUUUGAUACCUAUUAAUAUGUGACAUGAUGGAAAAGUCUGAAGUUAAUGAUUUCACUGAUGCUAUAAGUUUACAACUGAUAUAUACCUGAAAGUAUUCACUAAUCAGACUAAGUAAUUGGAAGUCAUUUGAUACGAUGUUAGACUAAGGCAUUUGCUAUACUAACCUCAAGAAUGCUUAUUAGUUUCUUUUUUUAGCCAAUUGGAAUUAAUUAAUUUUUAAAUGGUAAAUGGCCUGUAUUUAUAUAGCGCUUUACUAGUCCCUAAGGACCCCAAAGCACUUUACAUAUCCUGUCAUCCACCCAUUCACACACACAUUCACACACUGGUGAUGGCAAGCUACAUUGUAGCCACAGCCACCCUGGGGCGCACGGACAGAGGCGAGGCUGCCGGAUACUGGCGCCACCGGGCCCUCUGACCACCACCAGUAGGCAACGGGUAAAGUGUCUUGCCCAAGGACACAACGACCGAGGCUGUCCAAGCCAGGGCUCGAACCAGCAAUCUUCCUAUUACAAGGCGAUUACACGGCGAACUUCCAACUCUUGAGCCACGAUCGCCCCGUAAAUGGUAAAUGGUGCAAAAUGGUGCAAAAUUAACAUUGCUGUCACAAUAAUAGUCACAAUAAGCUGAGUGACUUUAAGCUGCAUUGCUUUAUUUUGCAUGUAUAUUGUAAAAUUAGGCAAUGCAAGUAAUUUUCUCAUGCACCUGCAAUGACCUGUCAAAACAUCUGUGAAAAAUGUUAAGCCUCUGCACCUGAUUUCAAUAAUCAACUGAUGACAAGGAGGCCACACUCACACCAGAGACUGCAGUAUCUUUACUCUGGUUCCAAAAAGCUCAGCCAUCCAGCUAAAUGGACAUUCAACAGCCAAAUGUAAGCCUAAUCUGUUAUCACUAUUCUUUGAAUAAAGUAAAUCAAAUGAUAAAAAUGGUAAAUGUCAUGAGUAAAUAGGCUUUUUGAUGGAACAGAGACCUGGUCUGGAGCCCAUCCAGGAAGAGUCAGAGCUUGAGAAUGAAACUGAAGGGAACAGAACAGGAGAAGGAAAUGAGGGCGAUUUUCCAUUUCAAGUAGGUGUGGAGGAAGAGGAUGCGCUGGCAGAAGAUGAGAGCGAUAAAGAUGACGAUGCUGCUCAACUGAGGGUUCUGAGACCUGGGAGGCUGUCUCGUUCCCUGAGCCAGUUUUCAAACCAUCCACACGAAGGAACCGAGAGCUUUUCCGUGUCUGAUGUGAGCACGCUUUCUUUUCAUCUACGUGGUGAAGCUACAACACCAGGACAGCCGAAAUUUACAAAUGUAAGGAGAUCCAAUAGCAGUAAGGUGAAAAUAAAGGUAGGUGUUACUGAGUAUUUACUAUUUGCUUCUAUUUAAAUAAAUAAUAAUAAUUUUUAAAAAUCUGAAAAAAAGACUAGUUUAUUUUUGCUUCAAGGCCUCCAAGAUUAAGUGGCAGAAACCGAGAAGAUCUAAACAGCCAGUCCCGAAGCCAAGGGAACGCUCUAAGAAGAAUUUAAUAGCUGAGGAACCGUUUCCCCCCUGGCUAGCGGAUCUGAUGGUCAGCAUCGAAGAGGCAACAACUCAUCAGCUAGUGAUUGAGUGACAUCUCGUGAGGUGAACGUGAAACAUUUGGGACACACCAACCUGGGACCUCAUUCGUGACAAACUGAACGUUGAACAAAUUCUGCCUAAUGUGCCUUAUUUAAGGAAGCCACUGACAAGAGAGUGAAGUCCAUGUCGUUUGUUGUUAUACGUGAAUAAACAAAAGGCACGAUAGCUGGUUUCAUUACACAAGAGUUCAAUGCUUAGAGAGAACAUGAUGUGUAUAUUUUGUGCAAGAGUUAAUUGUGUCAUUGUGUUAUCUUCAGUUUGGUAUUUGUGCUUCUAUCCCGCUACUGUCUUCGCUGUAUUUUUAUUUUGUGUAUCAAUCCCUUUUUCAACCAGCACUUGCUGCUGUUAGGUUCAAGCUGAACCCGUUUACCGUUUCUUAAGUUACUAGAUUUGGAUGCCAGUGAAGAAUGUAACACGACGAACCAAAGCUCUCUUCAGCAAGCAUAGCAACGUCAAAGCUGACCCCUCCCCUGCUGUGUGGGAGCAACAUGGCUGGUGCACUUUAGUGUACCGUCAGUCAGAGUUGACUCAAAAUAAAUCAAUAAAAUUUAUUUUUCUAUUUUUUAUGAAAAGAAAGUGUUUUCACCCAACCUAUGUAAGCUAAAGUAAAUCUGCAUUAAAAUACAUAUUAAAGUUUCAGUUCAUGCAUAUGCAAACGUAGUAACGCCGUGGUCCUUUUCUUACAUCAUGAUUAUGUUAUUAAAUUAGUAAAAUGUGUGCGAUUCACGCAUAGUCUGCAGUACUUUAAAGAGG
ensembl:lncRNA